rnacentral:rRNA from 1 species
UACGUAGGGUGCAAGCGUUGUUCGGAUUUACUGGGCGUAAAGCGCACGUAGGCGGGUCGUUAAGUCGGGGGUGAAAUCCUGGAGCUCAACUCCAGAACUGCCUUCGAUACUGGCGACCUAGAGUCCGGAAGAGGUGAGUGGAACUCCUAGUGUAGAGGUGGAAUUCGUAGAUAUUAGGAAGAACACCAGUGGCGAAGGCGGCUCACUGGUCCGGUACUGACGCUGAGGUGCGAAAGCGUGGGGAGCAAACAGG